AGUGAACGCUGGCGGUAGGCCUAACACAUGCAAGUCGAACGGCAGCACAGGAGAGCUUGCUCUCUGGGUGGCGAGUGGCGGACGGGUGAGGAAUACAUCGGAAUCUGCCCAGUCGUGGGGGAUAACGUAGGGAAACUUACGCUAAUACCGCAUACGACCUUCGGGUGAAAGAGGGGGAUCGCAAGACCUCUCGCGAUUGGAUGAGCCGAUGUCGGAUUAGCUAGUUGGCGGGGUAAUGGCCCACCAAGGCGACGAUCCGUAGCUGGUCUGAGAGGAUGAUCAGCCACACUGGAACUGAGACACGGUCCAGACUCCUACGGGAGGCAGCAGUGGGGAAUAUUGGACAAUGGGCGCAAGCCUGAUCCAGCCAUACCGCGUGGGUGAAGAAGGCCUUCGGGUUGUAAAGCCCUUUUGUUGGGAAAGAGAUCUUUCAGGCUAAUACCCUGGGAGGAUGACGGUACCCAAAGAAUAAGCACCGGCUAACUUCGUG
rnacentral:rRNA from 1 species